UGGUGGGAACCAUGCCUGGUUCAUUGUAAUAAACGUGAGCUUGUGGACAGGCGGCUGCGCUUGUCUGUGAUAACCUCGUGCCGAUUGCACGUCCCCGUGACGGUGACAACACAUUCACAUGUCUGACCUAUCAACUUUCGAUGCUAUUUUCCGCGCCUACCAUGGUGACCACGGGUAACUAGGAAUCAGGGUUCGAUUUCAGAGAGGGAGCCUGAGAAACAGCUAUCACAUGCAAGAAAGGCAGCAGGCGCGCAAAUUACCCACUCCCGACGAGGGGAGGUAGUGA